CAGGGAGGGUCACUUUCCUCAGCUCAUCCCUUUCUCCAAACUGUUACUGGGAGGGAUGGCAGCAGAGGGGAAGUCUGACACAAUGGCAUCUGACAAGGAAGUGCACAUGAAACAAAGCCGUGACGUUGAGUUCCACCAUGCAGAAAAAAUGGCACCCAUUGAUAUUCAUCUGCACUUGCUGAACACAUCACACUUAAGGUUCACUUGUCCUAGUGUGUCCAAUUGAAUCAUUCAAAUUUGUGUUGAAGCCUACCAGACAAGCAACAGGAAGUUUACGAGCCUCGGGGAUACUUGUUCCAGCAAUUCUCAAGCAGUGUGAGCAGCUCACUGUACCUUCAGGUCACAUUAUUUAUUGAUUUUAUUUAAAAUGUUGGUCCAUAGAAACAACCUUACAAGGUGUGCUAUAGAUUUUCUUAAGGCUCAAGUAGACAUUAAUAUGAUGCAAGUAAAACUGAUAAAACAGCAGUAUGUCAUCACACUGCAAAAGUAUCCAUAUAUGUGGAAGAAAUUCUCUGUUAUGAGGGUAGUGUUGCACUGGAACAGGUUGUCAAGAGAAGCUGUGGAUUCCCCACCCCUUGAGGUCCUCAAGGCUGGAUUGGAUGCGUCCCUGGGCAACCUGACCUCAUGGUUGGCAGCCCUGCCAAUGGCAGGGGGUGGGAACUGGGUGAGCUUUAAAGUCCCUUCCAACCCAAACCAUGGUAUUGUAUGAUCGACGUAUCUUUUUAAAUAAACUUAAUUCUUCAGUGUUUGAAAACCAAACAGUGGAUGAAUCACUACUUUUAUGCUUGCUUAAGAGAAAAACGGAGCCACUGAACAGACAAAAAGCAAGUGAAGUAGUGGAAAGCCAAAUUAGGUUAGUUUCAUAUCUCUAGACUAAGUAUUGUGGCUUUUAUAAGUUGUUUCCACUUUUGAAGUGCUCUGUAAGUUAGAUGAGAGAUACUGAGAAUACAUAAUAGCUUUCAGAGGCUCUGAGAUCUCUGACAGACAGAUGCUACUGAAUCUUGCUGCAGCCUCAAAGAAGGCAUUGUCGAUUGUUCAUCUCCAUCCUUCAGCUGAAAGUUAUCCUCUGUGUAGUAAAGCUGAAAGAAGCAGAUAUUUGCCCCAAAUUUUACUUCUUCCCAUGACUCAAUAAAGACAUUAGGUUCUAAACUGAAUUGACUGAGACACAGAACUCAUCUUUUCCACUAACUCAUCUAUGUGUAGUGCAAGGACUGAGAAUUAAGAACCUGGAAAAGGAGGUUUUGAACCCUCAUGGCUGUGGACUGCAGGGAUAGAUAUAGAAUCAAUGCCACUGAAUGUCAUAAACUAUAAAAUUAAAUAUUUAAGUGAUUUAGAAAUCUUCACAGGAUCACCUGCUUACAUGAAGUGAGGUAGCCUAGCAAGUCUUUUGCUCUCACUCUGUUAUGGCUUUUGUUAAUGGGAAAAGAAAUAGCUGCUAGUAAAAAGCCACUUCAGCUGCAUUCUUGUUUUGUUAUUCAUCUUGAGGAAGGUGUGUAGUGGAGUUGUAACACCUUAGAUUAGAAUGGUGAUGGAUUAAUACAAAGAUUAAAUUUAUUUGCAGUCCGGAGAAAAGUUAUCUGAAUCAGGACUUUUUUAUGCACUGAUUUUAUGCAUAAACCCAUUAUUUAUUUUCAAAUGAGUAUCAUAACAGCGGGCUGGAGUUUCACGUAACACUGGUUUUACCAUAAAUGAUCUGGAUUUGAGUGGUUGUCCAGUUUUCUCUCAUUAUGAAUUUCGAAAUGCCAUGGUUUGAACCUGAUGGGAAAUGGUAUUUAUGUGUUUGAGCAUUUGUUGUUGUUGUUGUUGUUUGUUUGUUUAAUCUCUUUUGUUUGUUUAUUUUAAAAAAUUCUUGUACAGUGGAAUGAUAAAAAAGCAAACAAGUCUAGGAUGAUAAAUAUUUCUUGUUUAUCAGCUCAAAAAAGCAGUUUAGAGCAUAUUUACUGCAUUUUGCUGUACAAACUAUCAUCAGACAUUGAAAAUUGUAGUGUUAGCUUUAGAAUUGAGGAAAAUUCUCCUUCGAAACUGUUCGUAGUAAGCUGAAUACAUUACACAGCUAAAAAUAUGUAUAAACAUGAACAUAUAAUUGAGAUGGAUGUGCAGGUGGUAUACUUCAGGAAAGAGUUAGAAAAAGAGAUUAAGGUUAAAAGUAUAUUUAAAAGAGGGAUUUUAGAAAUGCAUGCUUUUCUUACACUCAAAUGUGUUGUGAAGUUAAAUAGGAUUCAGUUGUUUGAGGAUUACUUUGUGUACUACUUGGAUUUAAAUCACAGGGCAUUUCAGAUCAGCUACUGUGUUCAAAGUAGCUGCUGUUAAAGGAUUUAUACAAGAUACCGCUUCCAGGGUAUUAGUACAGCAGGUUGUCUUCUAACUGAAUUUGAAGUCAACUGCAGGUUUCAUAUUAUCCUUGUCAAAUUUUUUGUUUAUUUGGUUGGUUUCUUUGAGCAAUCUUGAUCUGCUGUUUAAAAGUGUUUACUGGUUCAAAAUUAUUGACAUUAUUUACAAUAUUUAAAACAAAG
rnacentral:lncRNA from 1 species